GAUGAACGCUAGCGGCGGGCUUAAUACAUGCAAGUCAAGGGGUAGCAAUACACCGGCGUACGGGUGCGUAACGCGUAUGGAACCUGCCCUUAUUUGGGGGAUAACUCGGGGAAACUCGAGCUAAUACCGCAUAAGAUAGUAGAGAGGCAUCUCUUAGCUAUUAAAGAUUUAUCGGAUAAGGAUGGCCAUGCGUAAGAUUAGAUAGUUGGCGAGGUAACGGCGCACCAAGUGUACGAUCUUUACGGGCUCUGAGAGGAGAAACCCCCACACUGGCAGUGGGCUAGGGACCAGACUCCUGGGGGGGGCAGCAGUAGGGAAUGUUGGGCAAUGGGCGGGAGCCUGACCCAGCCACGCCGCGUGCAGGAAGACGGCGCUGUGGGUUGUAAACUGCUUUUAACUGGGAAGAAAGUAGUCCUUGCGAGGGAAGUUGACGGUACCAGUUGAAUAAGCCACGGCUAACUACGUGCCAGCAGCCGCGGUAAAAC
rnacentral:rRNA from 1 species